rnacentral:rRNA from 1 species
UACGGGGGGGGUAAGCGUUGUUCGGAAUUACUGGGCGUAAAGGGCUCGUAGGCGGCCAACUAAGUCGGACGUGAAAUCCCUCAGCUUAACUGGAGAACUGCGUCCGAUACUGGAUGGCUUGGAUUUGGGAGAGGGAUGCGGAAUUCCAGGUGUAGCGGUGAAAUGCGUAGAUAUCUGGAGGAACACCGGUGGCGAAGGCGGCAUCCUGGACCAAUAUUGACGCUGAGGAGCGAAAGCCAGGGGAGCAAACGGG